GCCGCCGCCGCCGCCGCCGCCUCAGCCCAACAUGGCGAUGCACAACAAGGCGGCGCCGCCGCAGAUCCCGGACACCCGGCGGGAGCUGGCGGAGCUGGUGAAGCGGAAGCAGGAGCUGGCGGAAACACUGGCGAACUUGGAGAGACAGAUCUAUGCUUUUGAAGGAAGCUACCUGGAAGACACUCAGAUGUACGGCAAUAUCAUCCGCGGCUGGGAUCGGUACCUGACCAACCAAAAAAACUCCAAUAGCAAAAACGACCGAAGGAACCGGAAGUUUAAGGAAGCUGAGCGACUCUUCAGUAAAUCCUCAGUUACUUCAGCAGCUGCAGUAAGUGCAUUGGCAGGAGUUCAGGAUCAGCUCAUUGAAAAGAGGGAGCCGGGCAGUGGGACGGAAAGUGAUACUUCUCCAGACUUCCACAAUCAGGAGAAUGAGCCCAGCCAGGAGGACCCUGAGGAUCUGGACGGAUCUGUGCAGGGCGUGAAGCCUCAGAAGGCUGCUUCUUCUACUUCCUCAGGGAGUCAUCACAGCAGCCAUAAAAAACGAAAGAAUAAAAACCGGCACAGUGCGUAAUGAGAUAGGAAUGACAUCAGUGGACAGAGAGGUCAGGUGUCACCCAGAGAGGAUUUUAGCAUUCACUCUGCCUGGGGUUUGUAUGAUGAUGCCAGGGCCUAUUAACUCAGAUAAUUGGAAAUUACACAGCUGCACUCAAAAUGGGUAAUGCAUAGUUUCUAGAGUGAGCGAGCAAUCUUGCUCUGAUCUCAAACUUCCUUCUGGCAGGCAUGAAAACCAGGUGUCCCUAGGCUGGCUUUUGUCCUGCUCCUCUUGGGAGCUCGUACUGAGAUGAAAGGGCACAAGCAAGAAAGGGGCGGGAUUCCCUGUCCCCCAGUGCACUUCUGGGUUAGGUUGCCUUACAGACCUGUGGGAUAACCAAGGCAUUCAUGUUGUUAGCUUCGUGGUUAUGGCACAUGGGGAUAAUAUACAAUGAACUUGAACUAGUUGAAGCCUCCUAUAAGCAUCAGCAGAUUCUCUAAUUCUUUAAAGAAUUUUUCUUGUCAAUGGCGGUGGUGGUUUUUAGACUGCAGAAAUAGUAUUUCCUCCAAAGAGUGACUCAAGAUCGCUGCUUAACGCUUUCCUGCAAACCAAAAGUCACUAUGCCGGUCUUGUAACGGCAGUAAGAAAUAGCAAAAAUUGCACAUCUUAUUUUGUGUGUAAGGUUAUAGGCUGUUUAAUCACUGUGGUAGGACUAAUGUUAGCUUAUCACAAACAAUAGCAGGGAACCAAAGUCUUAAAAUAUUUUUUUAAGUUCAGAUAAUUAAAUAUCGGGCUCUGUGUUGCUUUUAUGAAAUUUAUUUCAGUGUCAUUUUAAAGCAAUAAUUCUUUUCCUAUUUCACAGUGUUUAGAGCAGGGGGACAAUUCCUUGAAAGUUUCUGCGACAUUUUUUCCAUUAGUGAUACAAUAGAGAGCUACCAUUUAUUGUAGGUGACACUUCCCUUUUUGUAAUGCCAUCAUCAGUUGACUGAUAAAAGGGAAUUAGGCAGGAACUGAACUUCCUCCUGUACGUUUCUAGUAGAGUUCCAUAAGAACAGCACUUCUUCCUACCCUUUUUUCUCCUGGCUCCCAGAGCUAACUCCUCCCAGAAAAACAGAAGGAUUUCUAAAGAUCAUGGAUGUUCUUUAUUGCUUUCACAGAUGGUGUUUUCUGUUUGGAAGGCUGGCUUUUUUUGUCAUCCUCCUGGUUUACUAUCUGGCUGGCCUUCUCCCUUGGCCAUAGGCACAUACGUGCCCUCAGGGAGCAGAGUGGAGCUGAUUUACCUUCUUCCUGUGUAAAAGGCUCUGUGCACCAGAGUGGCGUCUCAGUGGCCAGUUAAGGUUCUACAUUCCCACCAUCUUCAGUCAGGAUCUGUCCAAUCCCCUUGCCCCCUCACUGCUAUCUUUGUGGUUCUAUCAGAUUGAGUGAGGGUGGGGCACUUUGUUCAUACACAUUUGUAUAUUUGCAUCUGGUACAGUACUUGUUUCUGCUCCCAACACGCCACACCCCAUAUACUCAGAUAAAGUCAAUAGUGAAUUAUUUCAACAAAUGUCUGACUACCUACUGCGUGCCAGGCACUGUUUAGGGGUGAGUAAAGCAAAGUGGGAAUAGAUACGGUACUGUAGCAAAAAGGAAUAACUUGGAUUUGUCCUCCUUAGGAAUAUGAACACUUGUCAAAUAAUUUUUUAGCAUUCAUAAAUGAUCACAGUGUCCUAAAUUUUUAUAUUUUACAUGAUAUCUGAAUCUUAAGUCCCAGGGCCUUUAAAGAAAAAAGUUGAAGUAAUAACUUGUAGCUACUCUUAUAGGUUUUUCCUAAUAUACAAAACUCUAGAAUUCUUCUAGGUAGUUUGUGAUGUUUUCAUUAAGUAGGUACAGUCUGAUUUGCAAAAGAAACUAAGAUAGGCUGAUGCGCCUGGAUGGCUGUCAGUUAAGCAGCUGCCUUUGGCUCAGGUCAUGAUCUCAGGGUCCUGGGAUCGAGCCCUAUGUCGGGCCCCUUCCGUGGUGAGUCUGCUUCUCCUCCCUCUGCUCUUCCCCCUGCUUGUGCACUCCAGCUUAUGCUCUCUCAUUCUCUCAGAUGAAUAGAUAAAAUCUUUUUAAAAAAUAAAAUGUUUUUAAAAAAUUGUUAUGCUGAAAGUGAAUUUUUAAAAUUUAAGUCUUAUUUAAGUAAUCUCUACUCAAUGCGGGGCUCAAACUCAAGACCCCAAGAUCAAGAGUCACAUAGAUGCUCUUCCAGCUGAGCCAGCCAGGCGCCCCUGAGAUUUAAAUUGAUAGUUCCUGGUUUGUACACUGUGUACUCUUCCCCAAGUGACUUAAGUGAGGCAGUUGCAUAAGAGAUUGAAGUUACACUUUGCUUUAGCUUCACUCUUACAAACAUGGGCCAGGAGGAAAAGCGAGUAUUUUGCAUUUUGUUUUAGCACCUGCCUACAGUGUGAAAGGUGUUGGAGCCAGCCAAAGAGUGGUAUCAUGCUCAGGGUUGAUGUUUGCUUUGGAGGUCUGCCCAGACCAUGGUCUGUCAGCAGCGAUGUCCGAAACAGCCUCCUCCCCUGCACUGUUCCCUUCCAGAUCCCUGGGGCUCAGGUGCUCGUGGAUGUCAGCUCUCCUUUGUUUUAUUUAGUAGGGAUGCUGUACAUUGGGGUGUUCUUAAUACUAGCCCUGACAUAAACAGUUACCUGCCAUCACCAUUUCAGGGGCAAAGUGAUGUGGCUCUGCAGUUCUCUGGAACAAGACUGUCACCAAAGUUUAUUCAUUUGACCCUUGGCCUCCAGGAUGAAUGCUCUAGAAAAAAAGAGUACCAUGUUCCCUGGGCAUUCCUAGAACUUAUAACUUUAAGUUGAGUUAAAAGCUGCAAAAUGUUUUCUUUGAGAAAAAUUUAUAAUGUUUUGAUCUUUUAUGUUGGUCAAAGUAUAUUGUGCUGAAUUGUUAGUACUGUCUUCAAAGCACCUUUCAUUAUAUGACUAAACCCUUCUUUCUCUGUUUCUUCUAAUGUCCUAUUUAUAUUUUUCACUACAAUUACGUAUUUUAAAAGUUCUAACUCUGAAUCUGGCACCUAAUAGACAGCCUGCAGUUCCCUCGUUUUCUAAUGAAAUAACUUUUCCUUUCAUAGUCUGUUCUUCUGAUACAAAAUCCAGUGAGGGAAGGGACUCUCCCAACCACAGAAUCUUUGGUGCUUUGAUGUUUGAAACUUUAUGGCUUAAGAUUCUUAAAGCUGAUUUUGUUUCUACGAAUCUUGCUAGGGUGGCUAAUCGACUAAUUUAUUCAAUUAGUAUAUUAAUUUCUAUUGCUUUCUUCCUUUCAAAUGCUGCCCCUCAGCCCGUCUGGCAUGUUUGAUUAUGACUUUGAGUAAGUUUGAUUUGAAUUAGUAUUUGUGCUGUGUUGUUUAGUGUGUAGAGACCAAUAUGCCUUUUUGAGACCUUUCUAACCCAUAGUUUAUCUGUUUAAUUGUAGGUAUGUAUAUUAGGUUAGGCUGGGAAGUUUUUUUUAAAAACAGAAAAACGUGAUGGAGGAUUGAUCUGAAGUUAAACAAAAAACCACGAGCUGACUAUUAGAAGACUCAUUAGUGCAGAAGCUUCCAGGCUGUAGAGCCCUGCUUCCCUCCUCCAACCUCACAAAGAUAAAUAUCCCUCACCUGAGUGCGCGGCCAUCCACCUCUGCUUUCCCAGACCCAGUGCCUGUGACUCUGAAUAGUUUGUUCUGAAACGUGGUGACAAGUCAUUUCUCUAAGACCACACUGGAUCAUUUACUGUGUGUCAUGUUUAGUAACAGAACUGCAAGAAGACCAAGACAUGGUUAUAAUUCCAGCAAGUUGCUAACUCUGCAUUUCUCCCUUCUUGGAAUGAAUGUGUGUCCCCUACCCCCCCCACCCCCAACCCCCGCCCCAAAAACUGGCUGGCACCAGCUUCAUCUGUGAUACCCAUUGAGAAAUGUUCUCUGGUUUUGUUUAUGCUGAAGGUAGAACAUAGGUCACGUUUCAGAGGGAGGCUGUAAAUAUCUGGCAUUUUCUUAUUUUGUUUGUGUUUUAUUAUUUUUCUAUUGUUUUUACCAUCUUCUUUUCUUUAGGGACUUUUUGUAAUGCCGUUGUACAGCUCAUACCUUCCUGCCAACAUAUCUGGUAAUCUGUUUCAUGCAGUUGCCAACAUUCUUAACUGAAAAUAAUCUGGUUUAUCAUAGAGAAAAUGGGGAACUUGGCUCUGUGUUUUUGCAGGGGGAAGGUAGAGAGGGUUUAUUUAAUAAUUACCUAUCUUAAAUCUUUCUGCAUUGGAAGCAGUUUCGUGUUCAAGGAACAGGAAAAGCUGAAAAAAAAAAACCUAAGUUUAAAUCAAUCCUUUUAAAAUAGAUAUUUUUAUUCUUUUAUAUAAAUAAAAUUUCACAGGUGUUGACUUCUCAUGCUUUACUUUUAAACCUGAGAUUGUUUUUUCACUUAUUUUAUUUAUUCGUAUCAUGCCUUAUGGAAAUUUCUCCCUUUUUCCAUUUUUCUCUCUUUGCUGGUAUCUGCCUGACUAAACAUUGCUCUAAAAAUCACUAAGGCAUAUGGAAGGGCUCAACUUUGCACCCAAAGCUGGUAAUGCCUGGAGUUCUUGAGCAGAGUGAGAGAUAGGAUCCGCGAGAGCCAGCAAUGCCCAGCAAGACUGCCCGCCCCCCUUCCUCUCAGAGCCAGCUGGGCUGGGGAACUUGCAGAUUUGUUGAACUCCUGUCUCUUGAGUGGGGCUCUAUCUCGGCCGCUCAUGACUCACCUGGGAAGCUUACAGACCUACUGAUGCCUAGGUCCCCACCCCCAGAGACUCUGACUGGGGUACAGUCUAGUUCCUGGGAUUUCCUGCCACAGAGGCCCUGGGGUUCUGAUAAGAAGCCAGGUUGAGAACCACUGCAUGAGGAGUGUCUGAUUGAAAUCCUAUGUUGCGAAUCAGUCUAGGGGAUGAGAUUUGGGGCCCCGCCUUUCUUUCGAUGCUGUCCAGUCCUAGUCCUCGACUUAGGCCCAUAUCUUUGUUAGAACAAGUAUGUUGCAUUGUGAUAAUAUUGGUAGAGCUGAAUACGGAUGGCGUCUGUUAGCAAAACGCGUCUACCUUGUCAGAUGUGCGAAAGCUUUCACUCUUGUUCUCAAAUAAACUUUUUUUUUU